rnacentral:rRNA from 1 species
GACGAACGCUGGCGGCGUGCUUAACACAUGCAAGUCGAACGGAAAGGCCCUGCUUUUGUGGGGUGCUCGAGUGGCGAACGGGUGAGUAACACGUGAGUAACCUGCCCUUGACUUUGGGAUAACUUCAGGAAACUGGGGCUAAUACCGGAUAGGAGCUCCUGCUGCAUGGUGGGGGUUGGAAAGUUUCGGCGGUUGGGGAUGGACUCGCGGCUUAUCAGCUUGUUGGUGGGGUAGUGGCGUACCAAGGCUUUGACGGGUAGCCGGCGGGGAGGGGUGACCCGACACAUGGCGGCGGGAGUCACGCCACUGCGACGAGGGGAGGGGGGGGCGGGGAAUAUGGCACAGGGAGCGGCGGGCUGGUGGAGCAGCGCGGCGGGCGGGGUGCCGGCGUGUGGGUUGUACACGGCUUGCGCUGGUGACGAGGGGGGAGUGACGAGAAUGGGAAAAGAAGCACCGGCUAACUACGGUCCAGCAGCAGCGUAAUAG